rnacentral:rRNA from 1 species
CAGGAUUAACGCUGGCGGCGUGCCUAACACAUGCAAAGUCGAACGGAAUAUCUUCGGAUAUUUAGUGGCGAACGGGUGAGUAAUGUACAGGUAAUGUACCUUCGUACUGCGAAUAACAAGCUGAAAAGUUUGCUAAUACGGAACAGUUUCCUUCGAGGGCAUCCUUAAAGGAAUAAAGAUUUAUCGUGCGGAGAUCAGCCUGUAUCCUAUUAGUUAGUUGGUGGGGUAAUGGCCUACCAAGACGACGAUGGGUAACUGGUCUGAGAGGAUGAGCAGUCACAUUGGAACUGAGAAACGGUCCAAACUCCUACGGGAGGCAGCAGUGAGGAAUUUUGCGCAAUGGGGGAAACCCUGACGCAGCCAACGCCGCGUGAGUGAUGACGGCCUUCGGGUUGUAAAGCUCUGUCGUGUGUGACGAGUAGGGACGGUAACACACAAGGAAGCCUCGGCUAACUACGUGCCAGCCGCAGC